UACGAAGGGGGCUAGCGUUGCUCGGAAUCACUGGGCGUAAAGCGCACGUAGGCGGCUUUCUAAGUCAGGGGUGAAAUCCUGGAGCUCAACUCCAGAACUGCCUUUGAUACUGGGAAGCUUGAGUCCGGAAGAGGUGAGUGGAACUCCGAGUGUAGAGGUGAAAUUCGUAGAUAUUCGGAAGAACACCAGUGGCGAAGGCGGCUCACUGGACUGGUAUUGACGCUGAGGUGCGAAAGCGUGGGGAGCAAACAGG
rnacentral:rRNA from 1 species